rnacentral:rRNA from 1 species
GACGAACGCUGGCGGCGUGCUUAACACAUGCAAGUCGAACGGUGAAGGGACCGGUUUUUGCUGGUUCUGGAUGAGUGGCGAACGGGUGAGUAACACGUGAGUAACCUGCCCCCUUCUUCUGGAUAACCGCAUGAAAGUGUGGCUAAUACGGGAUAUUCUGCGCCUGCUGCAUGGUGGGUGUGGGAAAGAUAUUGUUUCGGUGGGGGAUGGGCUCGCGGCCUAUCAGCUUGUUGGUGGGGUGAUGGCCUACCAAGGCGGUGACGGGUAGCCGGCCUGAGAGGGUGGACGGUCACACUGGGACUGAGACACGGCCCAGACUCCUACGGGAGGCAGCAGUAGGGAAUAUUGCACAAUGGGCGCAAGCCUGAUGCAGCGACGCCGCGUGAGGGAUGGAGGCCUUCGGGUUGUAAACCUCUUUCGCCAGUGAAGCAGGCCUGUCCCUUUUGUGGGUGGGUUGACGGUAGCUGGAUAAGAAGCGCCGGCUAACUACGUG